UGGACUGCAGCCCACCAGGCUCCUCUAUCCAUGGAAUUCUCCAGGCAAGAACAGUGGAGUGGGUUGCCAUUCCCUUCUCCAAAAGAAGACAUACUGCCUCUAAAAUUAGUAAAAUUAGAGAGACUAAUAUAGUUAGUAUCCGUAGUCUAAAGAAGACAAGAGUGAGGUUACAACUCGCGCUUCAGAAGAAACUGAGACCCUAAGGACACUAACUGACCAAUCCGUCAGGACACGGCAUCGCCUUUCUUCCGGGGUCCCGGGCCAGCGCUGGCCCCUUGAGACCACUGCCCGCCGUCAGCCCUUGGCCGGGCCUUUCAUCCACCAAGCUACCGGCAGCAGGGACACCAGGGCCUCUCGACCCCAAGGCCGGAGAACCGCGUUCCACUCCUCGGCGGCUGCCUCCCCGUCUUCCCUUCCGGUAGACAACCCCUGAACACUCCCCCAUUUCGCCGCUGAACCAGAACCGAGCCAUUCCCCAAGAGCUGAACCCACCGCUCCAGGAGUAGAAAUCCAAGCCGGACUGAGGGUCUUACCUUUAACAGAUUAGACGUCGCCAUGUUCCUUCAACUUAGACUCUCGCGAGACCGCGCGAGAUUUCGUGGCGCUCCGUGCCAGGCCACUACUGCAGGCCCGAGUUUCCCACCUGGGCCGAGGGGGCCCCGGGCCCGCACUGUGAAUAAGGUGGGCUCCGGCGUGCACACAGCGCUGACCUCGUCCCUCACUCCCGGAGCUUCCUCGCUCUUCUCUCCCUACAUGGUCACCGGGGCCUCCCCGUACGAGAGAGCUCAUGCAAACACUCAGGGAGACGGCAGCGGCGAAAGGUGAGAGGGAACAGGAGCCGACCCGAAAUCGGAAGAGGAAGCAUCGGCUUCACGAGCCUCCCCACUCCUUCAGAUGAGCCCCUGUGGUGGCACCCGCAGAGGCCACUGGCAACGAAUUUAGCUCGGUUUGGGACCGGCCGCUCUGGUUCGGCGGCCGCGUCACGUGACGCGGCGGGCGGGGCCGCGCUCGGGAGCUAGCGUGGGAGCCUGAAAGCGUCGUGGGCAGAGAUCUCGCAGCGAGGACGGGGGGGGGACGCCCUCUGCUGGCAGGAGUAUGUGUCUUCCGCCGCCGAGUGCUGGGGGGAGGUUACGAAAAAGACAUUAUCCGGAGUGAAAUGCUUGUAAUAGCUGUCUUCGAGAACUGGCGCAUAGAAGGGACCCAAGAAAUAUUUGUGUGCAUGAAUCAAUGAAUCCACGCACGAACGUGUUAACUAUUAAUAUUUCUACUCAAGAGGGCCUGGCACUGAAAUAACCUCUAAGAGGUUGAUCAGGUAUACCAGAACAUCCUAUACCGUAAGACCCCUAAGCUUUAUCCCUUCAGACCUCAAACCACUGGCCAAAUAAAGGGAAAGUAAUUUAUAUGUAG